AAAGAAACUAACCAGGAUUCCCUCAGUAAGGGCGACUGAAGCGGGAAGAGCCCAUGCUGCCAAUCCCUUCGGGGAGUUGUGCCGGGCGUGCCUGGCGGAGGUCCGGGGUUAAUUCCCUUGGAACAGGGGACCGGAGAGGGUGACAGUCCCGUCUUUGCCCCGGACUAUUCUCCGCGUGAAGGCCGUCCAACGGAGUCGAGUUGCUUGGGAUUGCAGAUCAAAGUGGGUGGUAAAUUC
rnacentral:rRNA from 12 species